rnacentral:rRNA from 1 species
UACGUAGGGGGCAAGCGUUAUCCGGAAUUACUGGGUGUAAAGGGAGAGUAGGCGGCAUGGUAAGUUAGAUGUGAAAGCCCGUGGCUUAACCACGGGAUUGCAUUUAAAACUAUCAAGCUAGAGUACGGGAGAGGAAAGUGGAAUUCCUAGUGUAGCGGUGAAAUGCGUAGAUAUUAGGAAGAACACCAGUGGCGAAGGCGACUUUCUGGACCGAAACUGACGCUGAGGCUCGAAAGCGUGGGGAGCAAACAGG